UUCGAAGUUUCUCUGGACAACUGGUGCAUUUAAGAAUUAUGUAAAAUAAUCUUAUCUGGUAAACCAAAUGAUAAGAGGCAUUAGGCGAAACGAUCUUAACCUAUUUCAAAAUUUUAAUUGGAUACGAAUCUCGCGGUUCUUGUAUGAAGUAUGUGGUUGUAGUAUAACAUGCCUAGUGGGACACUUUUAAUAAGUAGAAAUGUCGCUGUGGGAUGAACCGAACGUAAUGUUAACAACUCAUGCAAAUGCCAUUAAGAGCGUUGGUUGCUUAAAGCACCAGGGCGGUAGGCGUGGAAGCCGCAAUCCGCUAAGGAGUGUGUAACAACUCACCUGUCACGAGGCAACUAAUCCUUACAAUGAACGCCGCUUAAGCUGUAGACGUAUACAUUACACCUAAGGUAUAUUUUUAGAAUUCAGUUUAUUAGAA
rnacentral:ncRNA from 1 species